rnacentral:rRNA from 1 species
CCUANGGGGGGCAGCAGUGAGGAAUCUUGCGCAAUGGGGGAAACCCUGACGCAGCAACGCCGCGUGAGUGAGGAAGGUCUUCGGAUCGUAAAGCUCUGUCAGAUGGAAAGAACCACAUAGGGAUAAACAGUUCCUAUGUCUGACGGUACCAUCAGAGGAAGCACCGGCUAACUCCGUGCCAGCAGCCGCGGUAAUACGGGGGGUGCAAGCGUUGUUCGGAAUUAUUGGGCGUAAAGAGCGUGUAGGCGGCCGGAUGUGUCAGAUGUGAAAGCCCUGGGCUUAACCCAGGAAGUGCAUUUGAAACUGUUCGGCUUGAGUAGGGGAGAGGGAAGUGGAAUUCCUGGUGUAGAGGUGAAAUUCGUAGAUAUCAGGAGGAACACCGGUGGCGAAGGCGACUUCCUGGCCCUAUACUGACGCUGAGACGCGAGAGCGUGGGUAGCAAACAGGAUUAGAUACCCUUNUANUC